UACGGAGGGUGCAAGCGUUGUCCGGAUUUAUUGGGUUUAAAGGGUGCGUAGGUGGCCCUAUAAGUCAGUGGUGAAAGCCUGCAGCUUAACUGUAGGAUUGCCAUUGAUACUGUAGGGCUUGAGUACUGAUGAGGUAGGCGGAAUUGAUAGUGUAGCGGUGAAAUGCAUAGAUAUUAUCAAGAACACCGAUUGCGAAGGCAGCUUACUAAGGAGUUACUGACACUGAGGCACGAAAGCGUGGGGAUCAAACAGG
rnacentral:rRNA from 1 species